rnacentral:rRNA from 1 species
UGGGGAUUAUUGCACAAUGGGGGAAACCCUGAAGCAGCGACGCCGCGUGAACGAAGAAGGUAUUCGUAUCGUAAAGUUCUGUCCUAUGGGAAGAUAAUGACAGUACCAUAGAAGAAAGCUCCGGCUAAAUACGUGCCAGCAGCCGCGGUAAUACGUAUGGAGCGAGCGUUGUCCGGAAUUAUUGGGCGUAAAGGGUACGCAGGCGGUUUAAUAAGUCGAAUGUUAAAGAUCGGGGCUCAACCCCGCAAAGCAUUGGAAACUGAUAAACUUGAGUAGUGGAGAGGAAAGUGGAAUUCCUAGUGUAGUGGUGAAAUACGUAGAUAUUAGGAGGAAUACCAGUAGCGAAGGCGACUUUCUGGACACAAACUGACGCUGAGGUACGAAAGCGUGGGGAGCAAACAGG